rnacentral:rRNA from 1 species
UACAGAGGGUGCAAGCGUUAAUCGGAAUUACUGGGCGUAAAGCGUGCGCAGGCGGUUAUAUAAGACAGUUGUGAAAUCCCCGGGCUCAACCUGGGAAUUGCAUCUGUGACUGCAUCGCUAGAGUACGGUAGAGGGGGAUGGAAUUCCGCGUGUAGCAGUGAAAUGCGUAGAUAUGCGGAGGAACACCGAUGGCGAAGGCAAUCCCCUGGACCUGUACUGACGCUCAUGCACGAAAGCGUGGGGAUCAAACAGG